AUGCUUGUAGAGGUCACAGCUUGAACUGGUGAUUGAGCACCUGGUGAUAGGCUGUGGCUGGCCCAGGGAGCACAGGCAAAUUGUUUGCACCUGCACUCCCCAGGUGACCAGAAGGGGUGGACCUCCCCUGGGCUCAUAUAAGGGCUAGCCAAGGAAGGGAGAGCAUCUUUGGGAUCCAGGCUGCUUCCUGAGAUGGAGCGCUGCAUAGCCAUACGGCCCCUUUGCCAUUUGGGGCCUGCAUGCUGUGACACAAAAACUGCAUCACGCUGUGCACUAUGUUCAUGGCUGAUUGAUCAACUCAAGAAGACCCAGCUGGUUUUGUGACUCGGAACCCAGUUUGUGACACGCUCUUGCAUUUUAAGAAGACAACAGUACCGUCCCCAGAGACAUGGCACACAGCCUUGCUGGAGUAGCAUGAUUCACUACUGUAAAGGUUCCUGUCAUCCUUGCUUGAGAAACUGCACUGAAAUGGAGAUGAAAUCUGUGCCCAAUGGGCAUGGACAUAACUUUCAACAACUAAACUCUUUCUUCUGUUUCCUCCCUUACUUCUUUUAGCGUGUGCACAUUUCUACUUGUCAGUGUGCUUUAUGGAUGAAAUAAAAAUAAAGCUUUGCAAGGUGGUGUGAUUGUGGGUGGUGCUGGAUCUUCAUUUUUCACAUAAGCUUUUCUCUAAAUCCUAUGAAGCAGCAUUUCUGAAAAUAAGCAAGUAAUUAUAUCCAGCUCCUGUCAAGGGUUAAUACAGAUCCUUUCCUUAUGCAAGGACUUUGAGUAGCAGGGGAACUUCUUGUUCCUGUAACCAGUUCACAAUAAUAGACUUUCUGGGGCAUUUGAAUCAGAGUUUAUGAUAGUCCUGAAUGGCUCAUCAGUCAUCAUCAGAGAAGCACUGAAAUUUGAAGAGAGAUUUAAUAAAGUUUGGUUGGUGGAUUGUGUGGGUUGGUGGGGUUGUCUUUAAGCAAACAGGCAACAACUUGUGGUUGCUGAAAAGUGUGCUAAAAGAGCAGUUAAGGACAUCACUGCAGAAGAAGGCAUGCGUAUGUCCAGGCUAAUGGUCAUGGAAGAGUCUUGCAGUGAUUGGUCAUUUUAUGCAAUUGUGGGGAAAAAAGAAAUAGGAAGGAAAGAAGAAAAAAAAAAAGAUGCUGCAAGCACAAUUGUUUUACUGAGCACUUUAGUAUGGAAUUAAGGGAUAGUAAAUUGAGAUUUACAGCAGCUAAAGUGGAGGAGGUUGCAAUAGUUAAGACUUAAGAUUAUUAAGGAUAAGAGAAUUUUCUAUCAUGGCUUCUUGGAAUUUGAAUUAAUUUUGAGGAAAUACACACUAAUAAAAUGAAAAGUUAAGGAAAAGAAGAAAGGAGAGAAAAAAAAAAAAAAGCCCUGCAAGCCCAAAGAAUCAUUUUAUUGCAAUUUGUAAGUGAAAGAAUGGCAGAAAUAGAACAUUCUCUGAAAUGAUGAGAAACAUUUAGAAUAUUGAGCAUGUAAAGUGAACUUUAUGCUUCUUCCUUGCUUUUUCCCCCACACAUGCAUACAUGUGAAUACACAUGGGCGUUUACGUGCCUGUUCAUUUGUGCAUUUGUGUAGUUCAUCAGCAGCUGAGAUCUAGUAAGAUUGAAAACUUGCUUAAGAAAAGCUCUAGUUGUCUUCCAUCUGGAGUCUCAUUUUAAUCCUGUGAUUUGCUGCGUAAGUCUUGACCCUUAUGGUAGCACUUGCUUUUUUCUUCCUAAACUUCGUGUGC